GAUCCUACGGGAGGCAGCAGUAGGGAAUAUUGCUCAAUGGGGGAAACCCUGAAGCAGCGACGCCGCGUGGGUGAAGAAGCGCCUCGGCGCGUAAAGCCCUGUCAGCAGGGAAGAAAAUGACGGUACCUGAAGAAGAAGCCCCGGCUAACUACGUGCCAGCAGCCGCGGUAAUACGCAGGGGGCAAGCGUCAUCCGGAUUUACUGGGUGUAAAGGGAGCGUAGACGGAAAGGCAAGUCAGAAGUGAAAGCCCAAGGCUCAACCAUGGGACUGCUUUUGAAACUGUCAAACUAGAGUAC
rnacentral:rRNA from 1 species